rnacentral:rRNA from 1 species
AGAGUUUGAUCCUGGCUCAGAACGAACGCUGGCGGCGUGUCUUAAGCAUGCAAGUCGAACGAGAACCAUGGUGCUUCAGCUUGCUGAAGCCCGGGGGACAGUGGCGAACGGGUGAGUAACACGUAGGUGAUCUGCCCCGAAGUGUGGGAUAGCCUAUGGAAACAUAGGGUAAUACCUCAUGUGAUCCGAGGUUUGGAUGCCUCGGAUGAAAGGCGCAAUCGUGUCGCUUUGGGAUGAGCCUGCGGUCCAUUAGUUAGUUGGUGAGGUAAUAGCUCACCAAGGCGAUGAUGGAUAGCCGGCCUGAGAGGGUGAACGGUCACACUGGGACUGAGACACGGCCCAGACUCCUACGGGAGGCAGCAGCUAAGAAUAGUCCGCAAUGGGGGAAACCCUGACGGUGCGACGCCGCGUGGGUGAUGAAGGCCUGACGGUUGUAAAACCCUUUUCUCAGCGAAGAAUAAGGUGAGGAGUGGAACGCCUCAUCGAUGACGUUAGUUGAGGAAGAAGCCCCGGCCAAUUACGUGCCAGCAGCCGCGGUAACACGUAAGGGGCGAGCGUUGUUCGGAAUUAUUGGGCGUAAAGGGCGCGUAGGCGGUGCAGCAAGCUUGGUGUAAAAGGCUCGGGCUCAACCCGGGGAAUGCGCUGGGAACUGCUGCGCUAGAGUUUUGGAGGGGAAGCUGGAACUCCUGGUGGAGGGGUGAAAUCUGUAGAUAUCAGGAAGAACACCGGUAGCGAAGGCGAGCUUCUGGCCAAAGACUGACGCUGAGGCGCGAAAGCGUGGGGAGCGAACAGGAUUAGAUACCCUGGUAGUCCACGCCCUAAACGAUGUCAACUAGCCGUUGGGUCCUUAAGGACUUAGUGGCGCAGCUAACGCGAUAAGUUGACCGCCUGGGGAGUACGGCCGCAAGGUUAAAACUCAAAGGAAUUGACGGGGGCCCGCACAAGCGGUGGAGCAUGUGGUUUAAUUCGAUGCAACGCGAAGAACCUUACCAGGCCUUGACAUCCUGCGAACUUUCCAGAGAUGGAUCGGUGCCUUCGGGAGCGCAGAGACAGGUGCUGCAUGGCUGUCGUCAGCUCGUG